rnacentral:rRNA from 1 species
AGGACGAACGCUGGCGGCGUGCUUAACACAUGCAAGUCGAGCGGAAAGGCCCUUCGGGGUACUCGAGCGGCGAACGGGUGAGUAACACGUGAGUAACCUGCCCUGGACUUUGGGAUAACCCUCGGAAACGGGGGCUAAUACCGAAUAUUACUUGGCCUCGCAUGGGGUGUUGUUGAAAGUUUUUCGGCUGGGGAUGGGCCCGCGGCCUAUCAGCUUGUUGGUGGGGUGAUGGCCUACCAAGGCGACGACGGGUAGCC